UAUCUCUGUAGAGUCUGCAUAUCAAUAAGCGGAGGAAAAGAAACUAACUAGGAUUCCCUCAGUAACGGCGAGUGAAGCGGGAAGAGCUCAAAUUUGAAAUCUUCAAGGUUCUACCUUGACGAAUUGUAGUUUAAAGAAGUGUUUUCUGUUGGAGUUUUGGUAAAAGUUCUUUGGAAUAGGACAUCAUAGAGGGUGAGAAUCCCGUAUUUGACCAUUUCUUCCAGCUGUGUGAUACACUUUCAAAGAGUCGGAUUGUUUGGGAAUGCAGUCCAAAAUGGGUGGUAAAUUUCAUCUAAAGCUAAAUAUUGGCGAGAGACCGAUAGCGAACAAGUACCGUGAGGGAAAGAUGAAAAGAACUUUGAAAAGAGAGUUAAACAGUACGUGAAAUUGUCAAAAGGGAAGCGUUUGACACCAGUGUUGUUUUCUCGAAAAUCAAUUAAAAAAGAUUGGAUUUUGUGUUGUAUUGACUUUAUCAGCUUUCUGCACUCUUUUCUUGUCUUUUUUAAUGCACUUUUCGUUUAACAAGUCAACAUCAAUUUCUUUUGUUGUAAAAGGGUCAUGAGGAAGGUGGCUUUCUUUUCGGAGAAAGUGUUUAUAGCCUUGUGCCUCUGCAAUCGGAGAGAUUGAGGUCUGCAGCGUAGAUCCUUCGGGGUUAGAUACAUUUGUGCUAAGCUAUAGCCUUGUAUAGACAACUUGUUGACUAUGCUCAGUCAUGUAGCUUACUCGCUUAUGUCAUUUUACCUACGCUUAGGAUGUUGAGUAGCGACAUACGCAC
rnacentral:rRNA from 1 species